rnacentral:rRNA from 1 species
AUUGAACGCUGGCGGCAGGCCUAACACAUGCAAGUCGAGCGGAUGAAGGGAGCUUGCUCCUGGAUUCAGCGGCGGACGGGUGAGUAAUGCCUAGGAAUCUGCCUGGUAGUGGGGGAUAACGUCCGGAAACGGGCGCUAAUACCGCAUACGUCCUGAGGGAGAAAGUGGGGGAUCUUCGGACCUCACGCUAUCAGAUGAGCCUAGGUCGGAUUAGCUAGUUGGUGGGGUAAAGGCCUACCAAGGCGACGAUCCGUAACUGGUCUGAGAGGGUGAUCAGUCACACUGGAACUGAGACACGGUCCAGACUCCUACGGGAGGCAGCAGUGGGGAAUAUUGGACAAUGGGCGAAAGCCUGAUCCAGCCACGCCGCGUGUGUGAAGAAGGUCUUCGGAUUGUAAAGCACUUUAAGUUGGGAGGAAGGGCAGUAAGUUAAUACCUUGCUGUUUUGACGUUACCAACAGAAUAAGCACCGGCUAACUUCGUG